rnacentral:rRNA from 1 species
UGGCCGGACCGGCGCCGACGGGUGUAAGGUAACCGACGUUACUACCCUAACCUCGUCCCUUUACUUAGUGGACGACGCCCGUACGGAAGCGGAUUAAUACCGUAUGUUGUCAUGUUGAUGCAUAUUUUCAUGACCAAAGGCUUCGGCCGGUAAAGGAUGGGGAUGCGUCUGAUUAGCUUGCCGGCGGGGUAACGGCCCACCGGGGCGACGAUCAGUAGGGGUUCUGAGAGGAAGGUCCCCCACAUUGGAACUGAGACACGGUCCAAACUCCUACGGAAGGCAGCAG